GACGAACGCUGGCGGCGUGCUUAACACAUGCAAGUCGAACGGAAAGGCCCUGCUUUUGUGGGGUGCUCGAGUGGCGAACGGGUGAGUAACACGUGAGUAACCUGCCCUUGACUUUGGGAUAACUUCAGGAAACUGGGGCUAAUACCGGAUAGGAGCUCCUGCUGCAUGGUGGGGGUUGGAAAGUUUCGGCGGUUGGGGAUGGACUCGCGGCUUAUCAGCUUGUUGGUGGGGUAGUGGCUUACCAAGGCUUUGACGGGUAGCCGGCCUGAGAGGGUGACCGGCCACAUUGGGACUGAGAUACGGCCCAGACUCCUACGGGAGGCAGCAGUGGGGAAUAUUGCACAAUGGGCGGAAGCCUGAUGAAGCAACGCCGCGUGCGGGAUGACGGCCUUCGGGUUGUAAACCGCUUUCGCAUGUGACGAAGCGUGAGUGACGGUAAUGGGUAAAGAAGCACCGGCUAACUACGUG
rnacentral:rRNA from 1 species